AAACUUCUCUCUAGACGUUAAUUACUCGGUGUGUAUUGUGUACAAAAUACGAACUUGUGGACUAAUUUAGCUAGAUAAAAAUUUGUGUUGUGUGUAAAGCUUCGUUUUUAUGUUUAAUUACGUAAAACAUUUAAGAUGGCUUUUAUGUAUUAUUUUAUUUUUAAAUAAUUCAUCCAAGUUUUAUUUUUAAAUAAUUCAUCCAAUAAAGAAUUUGAUAUAUUGAAUAUCGUAGUACCGGAUGUAAAUAGCCUGAAUCAUUGUUAAAAAGUACUAAGUAUUGUAAAUUAUUACAAACGAUAGUUAAACAUUGUGAAGGGUCUGCCUGACAUGGCCAACGUUUUAUGUUCAAAUAAGUGGCACAGCAGAAACAAUGGAAGAGGCAGAGGAAAAAUUAAUAAGAUUAAAAAGAACCCCUAUUCUUCUCUACCAAUAAUGAGUAGUCUGCUAAAGCAAAAGUGGCUGCUGUUGAAAAAACUUUCAAAUUAAAAGCUUUAGCAUAGGAUUGAUUAAAAAUAGAUAAUAUAUUUAGCCAAAUAGCUUUAGAGUUAACUGACGAAUCCACUGAAAUUGCAGAACCUAAGAAAUAAAAGCCAAAAAAAUGUAACCAAAAAAUAGUGAAGAAACAAGCCUAAAAACAUAGUCUCGAAUGGUCAUCUACAUCAAUAGCGUCUUUGAUAUCUUCAUCACCACCGUCAUCAUUAUGUAAACCUAUAGAAAUAAAUAAUGAAACUAAAUAAAACGAAUUAAUGACAGUACUAACUAUAUUGUUGACUCAAAAAAAAAGGAAAAAAUUAGUUCAUAAUCUACACCAUACCACCUUGAUCAUCUUCAUCAUCACCAUCAACUAAAAGUAGAAAAAUAAG